rnacentral:rRNA from 1 species
UAGGGAAUUUUGGACAAUGGGGGCAACCCUGAUCCAGCAAUGCCGCGUGAGUGAAGAAGGCCUUCGGGUUGUAAAGCUCUUUUGUCAGGGAAGAAACGGUAGUAGCGAAUAACUACUACUAAUGACGGUACCUGAAGAAUAAGCACCGGCUAACUACGUGCCAGCAGCCGCGGUAAUACGUAGGGUGCAAGCGUUAAUCGGAAUUACUGGGCGUAAAGCGUGCGCAGGCGGUUGUGUAAGUCAGAUGUGAAAUCCCCGGGCUCAACCUGGGAAUUGCAUUUGAGACUGCACGGCUAGAGUGUGUCAGAGGGGGGUAGAAUUCCACGUGUAGCAGUGAAAUGCGUAGAUAUGUGGAGGAAUACCGAUGGCGAAGGCAGCCCCCUGGGAUAACACUGACGCUCAUGCACGAAAGCGUGGGGAGCAAACAGGAUUAGAUACCCCCGUAGUCCCUGAGCGGGCUGGCAAGGCGCAU